rnacentral:rRNA from 1 species
AUUGAACGCUGGCGGCAGGCCUAAUACAUGCAAGUCGAACGAGUCGCGGACGGGUGAGUAAUGUCUGGGCAACUGCCUGAUGGAGGGGGAUAACUACUGGAAACUGUUGCUACUACCGCAUACCAUCAGAUGUGUCCUGUUGGGAUUAGCUGGUUGGUGGGGUAAUGGCUCACCAAGUCGACGAUCCCUAGCUGGUCUGAGAGGAUGACCAACAACACGGGAACUGAGAUACGGACCAGACGCGUACGGGAGGCACCGUUGAGGAAUAUUGGGCAAUGGGCACAAGGCUGAAGCAGCCAUGCGGCGUGUAUGAAGAAGGCCUUCGGGGUGUAAAGUACUUUCAGCGGGGAGGCGUUACCCACAGAAGAAGCACCGGCUAACUCCGUGCCAGCCGCCGCGGUAAUAC